UACGUAGGGGGCAAGCGUUGUCCGGAAUGAUUGGGCGUAAAGCGUCCGCAGGUGGCAAUGUAAGUCUGCUGUCAAAGCGUCUGGCUCAACCAGAUAAAGGCAGUGGAAACUACAUAGCUAGAGUAAGGUAGGGGUAGAGGGAAUUCCUGGUGUAGCGGUGAAAUGCGUAGAGAUCAGGAAGAACACCGGUGGCGAAAGCGCUCUGCUGGACCUUAACUGACACUGAGGGACGAAAGCUAGGGGAGCGAAUGGG
rnacentral:rRNA from 1 species